UACCACAUCUGGAGAAAAAAAACAAAAAAAAAAAAAAAGUUGGUAUAGUCCUUUUUGUUUCAGGGGAAGAUGACCAGGAUAUUGUCUCGGUGAGUAAAAGCAUCAG